rnacentral:rRNA from 1 species
UACGGGGGGAGCAAGCGUUGUUCGGAUUUACUGGGCGUAGAGGGCGCGUAGGCGGCCACCGCAAGUCAAUUGUGAAAUCUCCGGGCUUAACUCGGAAAGGUCAACUGAUACUGCGGGGCUAGAGUGCGGAAGGGGCAACUGGAAUUCUCGGUGUAGCGGUGAAAUGCGUAGAUAUCUGGAAGAACACCAGUGGCGAAGGCGGUCAACUGGCCCGUAACUGACGCUCAUGCACGAAAGCGUGGGUAGCGAACAGG